GGGUAGGGUGUGAGACCUGUGGGUAGGUUGUGAGACCUGUAGGUAGGGUGUGAGACCUAUAGGUAGGGUGUGAGACUGGUGGGUAGAUGUGAGACCUGUGGGUAGGUUGUGAGACCUGUAGGUAGGGUGUGAGACCUGUGGGUAGAUUGUGAGUCCUGUGGGUAGGUUGUGAGUCCUGUGGAUAGAUGUGAGACCUGUGGGUAGGUUGUGAGACCUGUGGGUAGGUUGUGAGACCUGUGGGUAGAUGUGAGACCUGUGGGUAGGUUGUGAGACCUGUGGGUAGGUGUUGAGACCUGUGGGUAGAUGUGAGACCUGUGGGUAGGUUGUGAGACCUGUGGGUAGAUGUGAGACCUGUGGGUAGGUUGUGAGACCUGUAGGUAGGUUGUGAGACCUGUUGGUAGGUUGUGAGACCUGUUGGCAGGGGGUGAGACAUGUGGGUAGAUGUGAGACCUGUUGGUAGGUUGUGAGACCUGUUGGUAGGGGGUGAGACCUGUUUGUAGGGGAUGAGAUCUGUUGGUAGGGGGUGAGACCUGUUGGUAGGGGGUGAGACCUGUCGGUAGGUGGUGAGACCUGUUGGUAGGUUGUGAGACCUGUGGGUAGGUUGUGAGACCUGUCGAUAGAUGGUGAGACCUGUGGGUAGGUUGUGAGACAUAUGGGUAGGUUGUGAGACCUGUGGGUAGAUGGUGAGACCUGUGGGUAGGUUGUGAGACCUGUGGGUAGGUUGUGAGACCUGUCGGUAGAUGGUGAGACCUGUAGGUAGGUUGUGAGUCCUGUGGGUAGGUUGUGAGACCUGUGGGUAG
ensembl:lncRNA